UACGAAGGUCCCUAGCGUUGUUCGGAAUCAUUGGGCGUAAAGCGCUUGUAGGUGGCUUUGAAAGUCGGGUGUGAAAGCCCCGGGCUCAACCCGGGAAGUGCACUCGAAACUCCUAAGCUUGAGUACGGUAGAGGUGAGUGGAAUACCUGGUGUAGUGGUGAAAUACGUAGAUAUCAGGUGGAACAUCAGUGGCGAAGGCGGCUCACUGGACCAGUACUGACACUGAGAAGCGAAAGCAUGGGGAUCAAACAGG
rnacentral:rRNA from 1 species